UACGGAGGGGGCUAGCGUUGUUCGGAAUUACUGGGCGUAAAGGGCGCGUAGGCGGCCAGCACAAGUCAGUUGUGAAAUCUCCGAGCUUAACUCGGAAAGGUCAACUGAUACUGUGCGGCUAGAGUGCAGAAGGGGCAACUGGAAUUCUUGGUGUAGCGGUGAAAUGCGUAGAUAUCAAGAGGAACACCUGCGGCGAAGGCGGGUUGCUGGGCUGACACUGACGGCUGAAGCGCGAAAGCCAGGGGAGCGAACGGG
rnacentral:rRNA from 1 species